CCUAGGCUCAGGAUGAACGCUGGCUUAACACAUGCAAGUCGAACGGUGAAGCCAAGCUUGCUUGGUGGAUCAGUGGCGAACGGGUGAGUAACACGUGAGCAACCUGCCCUGGACUCUGGGAUAAGCGCUGGAAACGGUGUCUAAUACUGGAUAUGAGCUUUCACCGCAUGGUGGGGGUUGGAAAGAUUUUUCGGUCUGGGAUGGGCUCGCGGCCUAUCAGCUUGUUGGUGAGGUAAUGGCUCACCAAGGCGUCGACGGGUAGCCGGCCUGAGAGGGUGACCGGCCACACUGGGACUGAGACACGGCCCAGACUCCUACGGGAGGCAGCAGUGGGGAAUAUUGCACAAUGGGCGGAAGCCUGAUGCAGCAACGCCGCGUGAGGGAUGACGGCCUUCGGGUUGUAAACCUCUUUUAGCAGGGAAGAAGCGUGAGUGACGGUACCUGCAGAAAAAGCGCCGGCUAACUACGUGCCAGCAGCCGCGGUAAUACGUAGGGCGCAAGCGUUAUCCGGAAUUAUUGGGCGUAAAGAGCUCGUAGGCGGUUUGUCGCGUCUGCUGUGAAAUCCCGAGGCUCAACCUCGGGCCUGCAGUGGGUACGGGCAGACUAGAGUGCGGUAGGGGAGAUUGGAAUUCCUGGUGUAGCGGUGGAAUGCGCAGAUAUCAGGAAAAACACCGAUGGCGAAGGCAGAUCUCUGGGCCGUAACUGACGCUGAGGAGCGAAAGGGUGGGGAGCAAAUCAGGCUUAGAUACCCUGGUAGUCCACCCCGAG
rnacentral:rRNA from 1 species